UACGUAGGGGGCAAGCGUUGUCCGGAUUUAUUGGGCGUAAAGCGCGCGUAGGCGGUCCGUUAAGUCGGGUGUGAAAACCCGGGGCUCAACCCCGGGCCUGCAUCCGAUACUGGCGGACUGGAGGCAGGUAGGGGAGAGUGGAAUUCCCGGUGUAGCGGUGAAAUGCGCAGAUAUCGGGAGGAACACCGGUGGCGAAGGCGGCUCUCUGGGCCUGUCCUGACGCUCAAGCGCGAAAGCUAGGGGAGCAAACAGGAUUAGAUACCCCUGUAGU
rnacentral:rRNA from 1 species